GCCCGGGUGGCGAAAUUGGUAGACGCAUCAGACUUAAAAUCUGCCGGCCGCAAGGCCGUACCGGUUCGAUUCCGGUCCCGGGCA
rnacentral:tRNA from 1 species